UUCAUGCCUUCUCGAACCCUCAAGCCUUUUUUUUUUUUUUUUCCUCUCACGAAUGGAGCGCAUUCAGACGCUGUACAUGGAAGAGAUAGAAGAAGAUGGGUCAUGGUUCCGCGUUAUGAUUGACCAGUACUGGUUUAAUUAGUUUUGUAUUCAGCAUUAAUUAAUGAAUUGAUGGAGAGUAACAAGCUGGGCAGUAGUACUGAUCUUUUUGGUACUGGAGAGACUCAGACCUGUGAAGUUCAAAGGGUCGUCGUCGUAAUUAAGGGUCAACUCUCAUGAAUUAGCGCACUAUCGAUGGAUGCUACUGGCCGGAGUACUCUCAACUUUCCAAACGGUGACUUUGACGGUAUGAGUCAUCAUGAUUCAUGACCACUAUACUAAACAUCCUAGAGGCAACAACUCUUUCGGUAUAGAGAAGGAAAUUGGAGCGUUGCAAUUAGAAGAAAAGAAGCUUGUUGCUGAGAUAAAGAGGACUGCUAAAACUGGAAAUAAGGAGGUCUAGUAGCAUCAAUGAUAAAAGACAAUGAAUCCAUGCUGUACAGAGACAAAAACUAAUGAGGAUGAAAAAACCUUUCAAGGAAUAAUGGAAUAAGGAGCAAGAAAAAACAGAAGACCAAGCUUUUUAGUUUAUUGUUAUGUAUUGGAGUAUGAUUAAAACAAUGUAUGUGUUUUGUAAUAUUCUUAGUAAAUUAAUUCAAACAAUGUAAUAUGUAGUGGAUGGCAUCAUGUAUGGCCCAUGCAUUUUGAUUUUAUUUUA